GCGGAAGUGGCGGAACCGGUAGACGCGCAGGAUUUAGGUUCCUGUGCCGCAAGGCGUGGGGGUUCGAGUCCCCCCUUCCGCACCA
rnacentral:tRNA from 1 species